rnacentral:tRNA from 1 species
AUAAUUUUAGUACAAAUUAGUACAAUUCAUUUACAUUGAAAAAGAUCUUAUUAUUAGAAAAUUAUU